GUCCUCGCUUCAGUAGAACAUAUAUUAAAAUGGGAAUGAUACAGAAAGGAUUAGCAUGGCCCCUGUGCAAGCAUGACAUGCAAAUUCAUGAAGCGUUCCACAUUUUU
rnacentral:snRNA from 1 species